CAUACUCUGAACUUCGGGAUUUCCAGGCAGUGUUUUGUGCCUACGCCGUACCCUGCUAGUAGCUUCUAGCUGCCAGCUUUUCGGUUUGCCAGCUCCUCGGUCUUGAUCUCGUAUUUCCCGGACAAUUUAUUGUCCACCUGUAUAUUUUUUACCAAGGAUGCUAAAAAUGGCAAAUGGUACCGUUAAGUGGUUCAACGACGCUAAAGGCUUCGGCUUCAUCUCCCCGUCUGAAGGCGGCGAAGACCUGUUCGCUCACUUCUCCGCAAUUCAAGGCAAUGGUUUCAAGACCUUGGCCGAAAACCAGAAGGUGACCUUCGAUAUCGUCACCGGCCCGAAGGGCAAGCAAGCUGCCAACAUUCGCCCGGUUGAAUAAACCACGCGAUAGCGCAAGCUGAUAAAAGCCCGGUUCGCCGGGCUUUUUUA
rnacentral:sRNA from 1 species